rnacentral:rRNA from 1 species
AUGGCGGGAGACGGCGAGCUGAAGCUGCUGGGCGUGUGGACGAGCCCGUUCGUCAUCAGGGUGCGCGUGGUGCUCAACCUCAAGUCGCUGCCGUACGAGUACGUGGAGGAGAGCCUUGGCAGCAAGAGCGCGCUCCUCCUGGGCUCCAACCCGGUGCACCAUAGCGUGCCCGUCCUCCUCCACGGCGGCCGCCCCGUGAACGAGUCCCAGGUCAUCGUGCAGUACAUCGACGAGGUCUGGUCCGGGGCCGGCCCGUCCGUGCUCCCGGCCGACCCCUACGAGCGCGCCGUGGCGCGCUUCUGGGCGGCGUACGUCGACGACAAGGUCGGGCCGGCGUGGACGGGGAUGCUCUUCUCGUGCAACACGGAGGAGGAGAGGGCGGAGGCCGUGUCCCGCGCCGUGGCGGCGCUGGAGACCCUGGAGGGCGCGUUCGCGGAAUGCUCCAAGGGGAAGGCGUUCUUCGGCGGCGACGCCAUCGGAUUCGUCGACGUGGUGCUCGGCGGCUACCUCGGCUGGUUCGGGGCGAUCGACAAGAUCAUCGGGCGCCGGCUGAUCGACCCGGCGAGGACGCCGCUGCUGGCCCGGUGGGAGGAGCGGUUCCGCGCGGCGGACGCGGCCAAGGGCGUCGUGCCGGACGACGCCGACAAGAUGCUCGAGUUCUUGCCCACCGUGCUCGCUUGGGUCGCCGCCAAAGCCAAGUGA